GAUGAACGCUGGCGGCGUGCCUAAUACAUGCGAGUCGAGCGAACAGACGAGGAGCUUGCUCCUCUGACGUUAGCGGCGGACGGGUGAGUAACACGUGGAUAACCUACCUAUAAGACUGGGAUAACUUCGGGAAACCGGAGCUAAUACCGGAUAAUAUAUUGAACCGCAUGGUUCAAUAGUGAAAGACGGUUUUGCUGUCACUUAUAGAUGGAUCCGCGCCGCAUUAGCUAGUUGGUAAGGUAACGGCUUACCAAGGCAACGAUGCGUAGCCGACCUGAGAGGGUGAUCGGCCACACUGGAACUGAGACACGGUCCAGACUCCUACGGGAGGCAGCAGGAGGGAAUCUUCCGCAAUGGGCGAAAGCCUGACGGAGCAACGCCGCGUGAGUGAUGAGGGUCUUCCGAUCCUAAAACUCUGUUAUUAGGGAAGAACAACUGUGUAAUUAACUAUGCACGUCUUGACGGUACCUACUCAGAUAGCCACGGCUAACUACGUG
rnacentral:rRNA from 1 species